GGCGUCUAAUACCGGAUACGAGCUGCGAAGGCAUCUUCAGCAGCUGGAAAGAACUUCGGUCAGGGAUGAGCUCGCGGCCUAUCAGCUAGUUGGUGAGGUAAUGGCUCACCAAGGCGUCGACGGGUAGCCGGCCUGAGAGGGUGACCGGCCACACUGGGACUGAGACACGGCCCAGACUCCUACGGGAGGCAGCAGUGGGGAAUAUUGCACAAUGGGCGCAAGCCUGAUGCAGCAACGCCGCGUGAGGGACGACGGCCUUCGGGUUGUAAACCUCUUUUAGCAGGGAAGAAGCGAAAGUGACGGUACCUGCAGAAAAAGCACCGGCUAACUACGUGCCAGCAGCCGCGGUAAUACGUAGGGUGCAAGCGUUAUCCGGAAUUAUUGGGCGUAAAGAGCUCGUAGGCGGUUUGUCGCGUCUGCUGUGAAAACUGGGGGCUCAACCCCCAGCCUGCAGUGGGUACGGGCAGACUAGAGUGCGGUAGGGGAGAUUGGAAUUCCUGGUGUAGCGGUGGAAUGCGCAGAUAUCAGGAGGAACACCGAUGGCGAAGGCAGAUCUCUGGGCCGUAACUGACGCUGAGGAGCGAAAGGGUGGGGAGCAAACAGGCUUAGAUACCCUGGUAGUCCACCCCGUAAACGUUGGGAACUAGUUGUGGGGUCCAUUCCACGGAUUCCGUGACGCAGCUAACGCAU
rnacentral:rRNA from 1 species